rnacentral:rRNA from 1 species
AUUGAACGCUGGCGGCAGGCCUAACACAUGCAAGUCGAGCGAGCGGCGGACGGGUGAGUAGUGUCUGGGAAACUGCCUGCUGGAGGGGGAUAACUACUGGGAACGGUAGCUAAUACCGCAUACCAUCAGAUGUGCCCAGCUGGGAUGAGCUAGUAGGGGGGGUAACGGCUCACCUAGGCGACGAUCCCUAGCUGGUCUGAGAGGAUGACCAGCCACACUGGAACUGAGACACGGUCCAUAGUCCUAAGGGAGGCAGCAGUGGGGAAUAGUGCACAAUGGGCGCAAGCCUGAUGCAGCCAGGCCGCGUGUGUGAAGAAGGCCUGCGGGUUGUAAAGCACGUUCAGCGGGGAGGCGGUACCCGCAGAAGAAGCACCGGCUAACUCCGUGCCAGCAGCCGCGGUAAUUC